GUAGGGAAUAUUGGGCAAUGGAUGCAAGUCUGACCCAGCCAUCCCGCGUGCCGGAAGAAGGCCCUCAGGGUUGUAAACGGCUUUUGACGGUGAAGAAUCGACAGGAUGCGUCCUGUUUUGACGGUAGCCGUUGAAUAAGCACCGGCUAACUCCGUGCCAGCAGCCGCGGUAAUACGGAGGGUGCGCGCGUUGUCCGGAUUUAUUGGGUUUAAAGGGUGCGUAGGCUGGAAGGUCAGUCAGCGGUGAAAAGCUGUCGCUUAACGAUAGUCUUGCCGCAGAUACUUCCUUUCUUGGAUGAGGAGGAGGCCACUGGAACGGAUGGUGUAGCGGUGAAAUGCAUAGAUAUCAGCCAGAACACCGAUUGCGAAGGCAGGUGGCUGUACCUUAAUCGACGCUGAUGCACGAAAGCAUGGGGAGCAAACAGGAUUAGAUACCCUUGUAGUCC
rnacentral:rRNA from 1 species